AAUGGGUAUCAUAAAAAAAGUUUAUGAACUAAACGAUCUAUUGGGGCGUUGAAUGACGUCCGUUACGGUUACGAGCAAUAUUUAUUGUAAUUACAUUGUUUAGCCCGCUAAAAAGACUGUUAUUGUUUGAAAAGGGAGGCGAGUUCUCUCGUGGAAUCAACGAAGUACUCAACUUUAAAACGAUAACUGAAGAACAACAUUAUUGUAUCGAUAAAAACCAUGCUUUUUUCGCAGAAAUACGUAACUCGUAUUUUUUUUAAAGCAACACUCAUAACGUAUUGAAUAAAAUUAUCAUACACUUUUUUUGUCCAAUAUUUGUAAAAUACGAUAUUAUCAAGAUCACCAAGGAAGUAAUCUCCAAUUCUUAAUGAAUAUAAUAAAAAACAUAAUUAAUGAUCUUUUGAUGGUUUUUUUAUUAUCUCUGUAAUACAAAAACGCAACAUGGUGUCAACAGUUUAUAUAGUUCGUAUGUUUCUGUAGGAAUACAGAAAUAAUAAUUCUCUAUCGCAACGUAAUCUAAAGGGAAAACCCUAAUUAAAUGACAAAAAUA